UACGUAGGGCGCAAGCGUUGUCCGGAAUUAUUGGGCGUAAAGAGCUCGUAGGCGGUUUGUCGCGUCUGCUGUGAAAACCUAAGGCUCAACCUUGGGCUUGCAGUGGGUACGGGCAGACUAGAGUGCGGUAGGGGUGACUGGAAUUCCUGGUGUAGCGGUGGAAUGCGCAGAUAUCAGGAGGAACACCGAUGGCGAAGGCAGGUCACUGGGCCGCAACUGACGCUGAGGAGCGAA
rnacentral:rRNA from 1 species